rnacentral:rRNA from 1 species
UACGGUAGGGUCCGAGCGUUGUCCGGAAUUACUGGGCGUAAAGAGCUCGUAGGUGGUUUGUCGCGUUGUUCGUGAAAACUCACAGCUCAACUGUGGGCGUGCGGGCGAUACGGGCAGGCUAGAGUUCGGUAGGGGAGACUGGAAUUCCUGGUGUAGACGGUGAAAUGCGCAGAUAUCAGGAGGAACACCGAGUGGCGAAGGCAGGUCUCUGGGCCGAUACUGACGCUGAGGAGCGAAAGCGUGGGGAGCGAACAGG